rnacentral:rRNA from 1 species
CUAUACAUGCAGUCGAGCGAACAGACGAGGAGCUUGCUCCUUUGACGUUAGCGGCGGACGGGUGAGUAACACGUGGGUAACCUACCUAUAAGACUGGGAUAACUUCGGGAAACCGGAGCUAAUACCGGAUAAUAUUUCGAACCGCAUGGUUCGAUAGUGAAAGAUGGCUCUGCUAUCACUUAUAGAUGGACCUGCGCCGUAUUAGCUAGUUGGUAAGGUAACGGCUUACCAAGGCAACGAUACGUAGCCGACCUGAGAGGGUGAUCGGCCACACUGGAACUGAGACACGGUCCAGACUCCUACGGGAGGCAGCAGUAGGGAAUCUUCCGCAAUGGGCGAAAGCCUGACGGAGCAACGCCGCGUGAGUGAUGAAGGUCUUCGGAUCGUAAAACUCUGUUAUUAGGGAAGAACAAACGUGUAAGUAACUGUGCACGUCUUGACGGUACCUAAUCAGAAAGCCACGGCUAACUACGUGCCAGCAGCGGCCGGUAAUAAA